GACGAACGCUGGCGGCGUGCCUAAUACAUGCAAGUAGAACGCUGAAGGAGGAGCUUGCUCUUCUGGAUGAGUUGCGAACGGGUGAGUAACGCGUAGGUAACCUGCCUGGUAGCGGGGGAUAACUAUUGGAAACGAUAGCUAAUACCGCAUAACAGUAGAUGUUGCAUGACAUUUGCUUAAAAGGUGCAAUUGCACCACUACCAGAUGGACCUGCGUUGUAUUAGCUAGUUGGUGGGGUAACGGCUCACCAAGGCGACGAUACAUAGCCGACCUGAGAGGGUGAUCGGCCACACUGGGACUGAGACACGGCCCAGACUCCUACGGGAGGCAGCAGUAGGGAAUCUUCGGCAAUGGACGGAAGUCUGACCGAGCAACGCCGCGUGAGUGAAGAAGGUUUUCGGAUCGUAAAGCUCUGUUGUAAGAGAAGAACGAGUGUGAGUGUGGAAAGUUCACACUGUGACGGUAUCUUACCAGAAAGGGACGGCUAACUACGUG
rnacentral:rRNA from 1 species